GCACAAUGGGCGCAAGCCUGAUGCAGCGACGCCGCGUGAGGGAUGACGGCCUUCGGGUUGUAAACCUCUUUCAGUAGGGAAGAAGCGAAAGUGACGGUACCUGCAGAAGAAGCACCGGCUAACUACGAGCCAGCAGCCGCGGUAAUACGUANGGUGCGAGCGUUAUCCGGAAUUAUUGGGCGUAAAGAGCUCGUAGGCGGUUUGUCGCGUCUGUCGUGAAAGUCCGGGGCUUAACCCCGGAUCUGCGGUGGGUACGGNCAGACUAGAGUGCAGUAGGGGAGACUGGAAUUCCUGGUGUAGCGGUGGAAUGCGCANAUAUCAGGAGGAACACCGAUGGCGAAGGCAGGUCUNUGGGCUGUAACUGACGCUGAGGAGCGAAAGCAUGGGGAGCGAACAGGAUUAGAUACCCUGGUAGUCCAUGCCGUAAACGUUGGGCACUAGGUGUGGGGACCAUUCCACGGUUUCCGCGCCGCAGNUAACGCAUUAAGUGCCCCGCCUGGGGAGUACGGUCGCAAGGCU
rnacentral:rRNA from 1 species